CGUUCGGCAUAGCGUGCGACUGCGCGAUGACGAAGGCGAGACUCAAAUCAGACCGCUAAACAUGUAGAUCUGCCCGAAGAAGGCUUGCGGACGCGGGUUCAAUUCCCGCCAGCUCCACCA
rnacentral:tmRNA from 1 species